CAAUAGCGUAUAUUAAAGUUGUUGCAGUUAAAAAGCUCGUAGUUGGACCUUGGACCUGGACAGGCGGUCCGCCUCAAGGCGAGUACUGUCUUGCUGGGUCUUUCCUCUUGGUGAUCUGUUGUUUCGGCAGCAGGGAACCAGGACCUUUACUUUGAAAAAAUUAGAGUGUUCAAAGCAGGCUCGACGCCGGAAUAUAUUAGCAUGGAAUAAUAAAAUAGGACGUGCGGUUCUAUUUUGUUGGUUUUUGGAAUCGCCGUAAUGAUUAAUAGGGACAGUCGGGGGCAUUAGUACUCACAUGCUAGAGGUGAAAUUCUUGGAUUUUGUGAAGACUAACUUCUGCGAAAGCAUUUGCCAAGGAUGUUUUCAUUAA
rnacentral:rRNA from 1 species